ACAAUGCGCAGCUGAAUUGGGAUGAGGGGCCAGGACAAAGCAGAAAUCUGCUGCAGAGAGCAGGAAAGAUAUUCUGUAGCAGGAUCUGGGCAAGCGGCACUCAUCCAUAUCCUUUGCAUUGCAAAGAGAGGAGCUACCUCCUUCCUUUUUAUUUUCCAGUUUAUUGGUGGCUCCUAGAACCUCUGAGAACUAACUGAUUUUGACCUCUUAACAGUUGCCUUUCAACUACCAUUCAUUUACUGCAAGCCUACUGUGUAACAGGCCCUUGCUAACCACUUCAGAUAUAUUGUCUCUUGUCCAGCUUCAAGUGACUCUCUUAGGGAGGGAUUAGCCUCACCUCACUAGUAUGGAAAUGGAGACUUGGAGUAAUCAAGUGACUUGCUCUGAAUUACACAGCUGGGAAGUGGUGAAGCUGGAAUUCAACUCAAGUUAUGUCUAGAUCUAAAACUCAUGCUCUUUUCUAUGCUCAAAGCUGCAUAUCAAAACUGAACUUUAGCAUGGAGUCUAUGAUGACUGGCUCAUGUCUCUCCACCCAGCACCUAGCCCAAGGCCAAGCACAGAGAAGGCUCACAGUGGACACUUUUGGAAUGAGUAGAUUUUUUAUGGAAUGGUCGAGCACACUGAACUACCUGGAGUAAAGGGGCAUCAUGUCUGAAACUGAUGCUUAAGUGGCUCAGAAAAAAAAUUCUGGGAGCUAGAGGGAGAGAGAGACAGAGGAGUGUGGUAAAAAGUUAACAUUUUGGGGAUCUGCGUAAAGGUAUAUGAGGAUUCUUUGUACAGAUUUUGCAAUUUUUCUCCAAAUGUGAAAUUAUGUCAAAAUAUAAAAUUAAAAGACAAAAUUAAAAGAAUGAAUGAGAGUUUGCUAGGUAGAGAAGCAGGGGGAUCUUCUGGCAAAGGAACAGGAUAAGCAAAAGCAUCACAAGUGUGCGAGUCUUCUGUGUUGACAA
rnacentral:lncRNA from 1 species